rnacentral:rRNA from 1 species
AAUCGCGGAUCAGCAUGCCGCGGUGAAUACGUUCUCGGGCCUUGUACACACCGCCCGUCACACCAUGGGAGUCGGUAACACCCGAAGUCUGUAGCCUGACGCAAGAGGGCGCAGCCGAAGGUGGGAUUGAUGACUGGGGUGAAGUCGUAACAAGGUACC